UUUUGUCCGUUGAAUGUUAUUCUACUCUACAGUAACCUUCUGCUGUCUAUUGCAGGUCACGAACUGCUGUGGCUCCAUUGGAACGAUUAAAAAUAUUGCUACAGGUCCAAAAUCCACAUAACAUAAAAUACAGUGGUACUGUUCAAGGCUUAAAGUAUAUCUGGAGAACUGAGGGCUUUAGGGGCUUAUUCAAAGGCAAUGGCACCAAUUGUGCUCGAAUUGUCCCAAAUUCAGCAGUCAAGUUCUUCAGCUAUGAGCAAGCCUCCAAGGGUAUAUUAUAUCUGUACCAGGUGCAAACUAACAAUGGUACGUCUUUGUUAGUAUAUGUACCCAAUAAAAGUUGGCUUUUCAGUUACCCUUGUCUUAGCAAAGAUUCCUUUCUGUACAUGUUGGACAUCUGUGGGUAAAAUUACAUUUUCAAUUUUACUUUCUAUGAUGGCAGCACCCUUUCUCCAGUUUAUGAUCUAUGAUCAUGUGCUUUCCGUGUAACUAUUAUCAUACUCCGAUUUAAGUUGAAGGAGAAGUCAUAAUUUUUUGUCA